AAGCACCACUCUGAAACCAUCUGACACAAUUUGAGCUUGUUCUAGCAAAAAUGUCUAACCUAUUCCAGUGUUCUCUUCCGUACAAAACAAGCUAUCAUAUAGGCUCAAACAAU